CCUGGAGGCCAAGAAACACAUCCGCGAGGUCGGGGCCUCCAUGUGAGGGGAAUGCAGGUGUAGAAAGCUCUGCUCUGCUGCCACCAGCACGUGAGGUGGGGACAGGGGCACUGGGCACGUGGAUGCAGGCCCUGGACACGACCCUGUAAGAUAACCUCACAGGCCCAAGCAGAUGGAUGGUGGUCACCCCACCUCCAGGUGCCCAGAGGUGGAACUGCUCUCUGGGUGCCCUGGCCCCAAAUCCUCUCAGCCCCACGAAGCACACUCCUGACAGGCCCACCACACUGGACCUUCCCUUACCCAGGGGGGUCAAGCAUCAUCCUCAGCUGGCCUCCAAGGUCUCGUGUUUCCUAGGUAUGUGGGCAGGACCGCAGCCUGGGCCAUGGUGCAGAGCCCACAUGACACGUGCAGGUGCAUACACGGACUGGGAGAGGGCGGGCAGGCCGCGCCAACCUGAAGACAGCUCCCAGCAUGGGCCAGCACCUCACGAGCACCCAAGCUGACUGAGGGAUGCAGGGCAGAGUCCCCCUGCCAUUUCCAGGUUAACUCAUCUGUAUAUCAAGGGAGCCUCUCCGGCCCAGCUACCUACCCCUGCCGCCCACUCAGGGUUCCAGCCUCCCCCAGAACCCCCACAGUAGUGGACUCCUCCCUGGUGGGCAGCUGCCGUCCUCCUGCGUGGGCUGCACAGGCCAUCACCAAGCCUAGAAGCAUCUCUGACCUGCGUUGGGCUUUCGCACUGUCCCCUGCUCCCUGACCUGUGACACUGGCACCUAAUCAGGUGAUCUUGUUUUUUUCUCCAGUGUCUGCUGUGUGGUCAUAUAGCCAGUCUGAUAGGUUCCCACUCUACCCACUUCCAUCUUCAGAAAUCUGAUGACUUUGUCUUCUCUUAGUGUUUGUUGUUUUUGUUUUGUUUGAUUGUAGGUCCUUUAAGUCCAUCUCUUGCAAUUACUUUAGAAGAGUUUACAGAAAGAUGGGCCCAAGGAUGCAACUGGUGAUAGAAAGUUUGCCAUGCACGCACAAGGCCCUGCACCUAAUCCCCAGCAACACA